rnacentral:rRNA from 1 species
CAGCAGCCACGGGAAUACAGAGGGUGCGAGCGUUAAUCGGAUUUACUGGGCGUAAAGCGUGCGUAGGCGGCUUCUUAAGUCGGAUGUGAAAUCCCUGAGCUUAACUUAGGAAUUGCAUUCGAUACUGGGAAGCUAGAGUAUGGGAGAGGAUGGUAGAAUUCCAGGUGUAGCGGUGAAAUGCGUAGAGAUCUAGAGGAAUACCGAUGGCGAAGGCAGCCAUCUGGCCUAAUACUGACGCUGAGGUACGAAAGCAUGGGGAGCAAACAGGAUUAGAGACCCCGGUAGUCCCUGUCUCUUAUAC